CCCGGGCUGACACAGGAACUGACCUUGUGUCAGUGCUUUUUCAGGGUAACGCUGGGAAAGAAUGCGACGAGAAACCCUGGUGCCCGAGCGCAUUCCCUUUGGAGAAGCAGGUGCCAGCAUGUCUCCGUCACGGGAGAAGGGAAGGUGCCCACAGCUAAAAUACGCCCAGCCGCGGGGCACAUUUUGCCGGUGUGUUUGAGGAGGAGCAGUGUUUCACGGGGCAGACAGCGAUGGAUCAUAUGGGACGGCUGCGCCAAAUGAAGGCAGGCGUAAUUCUGGGGUUGAUGGCAUCGUAUUAGUGCAGCUGUGGUGCAGGAAGCGCUGGCAUAGGUCAUGAUCCCCAUCUUCUGUCAACCCUCAGCAUGUCCAGGUAAAUGUAGCAGGAUCAUGGUGGGAAUAGCCCCUAGCAAUGAACGAUCCCCAUGACUGCGGGCUUGGGAAGUGGGUGCUGUUGAGUACUGAGGGCAAAAAUAACAGUUUUUAGUAACAUAUGUUACUAAAAAAUAAUCUAGGAGGGCAAACUGGAGGCUUCCUCUCCAGAAAAGAAGAGGAAUUCGGAUCUGAGAACACUGUGCUUUGAAUGUUCCAUUAUGGGUGAUUUUGGCUGCGUACUUUGUGAAUUCCAUAGCAGCUUCUCUGAAGUUUGGAUUUUACGAAUUGCUCUUGGUGUCAGUUGAGGUGAGAGGAAGAGCAAAGGUUUGGAUUUUAUAGGUAUUUACACACGCAGAAAGAGAUGACUGUCUAUUAUGUAAUUAAAUAAUCACAUCAUAUUUCUAUGCCCUACAUGUACUUUUUGUGUCUCCUGUGUUGACACCCCAGUGCUGUACGGAAGCAGCGCUGCCGUAGUCAGUUCUUGUGUUGUCUUCCCCAGAUCUGCUUCUUUCCCUGUGUAACUUCAAACCACACCAGUCUGCUCAGCAAUUCCUUGCCUGGUGUGUGCCCUUCCCCUGAGGAGGAGGACUUGGUCUCGGCCUUGUUUAUUCACUGUAGUCAUCUCCAGCGUGGAUUAAAUUUCUCCCCAUCUCUUCUGUCCUUCUUUUCCUUCUUGUGCAAGGCAUGGUGACAAACAGUAACCAAAAGGCUGCCGUGCUUCCAACCAGCGGCUUGACGGCUCGCGCAAGGCACCUCUGGUCCCGUUUCAAGGACGAAAUAUGCCAGUGGUGUUACCAAUGACCAAGAAGAGUUGCAGAAAGGAGCAGAGGGUGACAUGGCCAUAGAUGAAUCUUCUGGGCAUUUGGGCUACUCUGAAAAUGCAUCCGUUCAUUGAGAGGCUGAGUCUGGGUGGUUCCAUUUCGCACCAUUUGGAAUCUUUAUUAGGAGAAGAAUAAAUGAAGGUUGUCCUGUCCUCUUUUGCAUGGCAGAAGAUGUCUUGUAGGGAGAAAAGGUUGGUAUGCCCUGUUGCCGUGGUGUUACUGCUGGAGUCACCUCUGAAACCAUGAGCAUGUUCUUCUCUGAAGUGCAUGUACAUUGCCAUAGCAAAGCAGUAGCCUUACCAUGGGCUUGGUCACCUUGUAAACUGUGUAGAACGGGCUUGUUCAAAUAAUCUGAGUGUAGCGUGGUCUU